rnacentral:rRNA from 2 species
CACUCUAAGCGGUGGAUCACUUGGCUCAUGGG